GGUGGUAGCGAUCAAGCAUUUGAUGUGUUCCAGUCCUUAUUUGGAAAUUACAACCCAAGUAUAAUUCCCGACUGUGGUGCUCCAACACAAGUCAAAGUCGGCAUCGCAGUCAGACAAAUCUUAGAUCUGGAUGAGCCGUCACAGAUUCUGCAGUCCAAUAUCUGGGUCAGACUUUCAUGGAUGGAUUGCCGAUUGAAAUGGAAUGCAACAAGUACCGGCAUACCAAGCAUGGUUAUUCCCUACCAGCACCUCUGGAUUCCUGAUAUUACCUUAUAU